rnacentral:rRNA from 1 species
CCCGAAAGGUCGAAAGAUGAGAUUCAUUUACUUUUUAUCGUAUAUUAACCAACUUGUAUUUGUAAGUGACAAAAUUUAUUAUUAUUUUUUAUUGUAAUUUUUUUUUUUUAUGAUAUUUAAUUAAUUUAUAAAAUUAUUGCACUACUAUAUGUUGUGUAUAAUAACGAGGUAUGCACUUCUCAUCUUGUAGGACGUCGCGACCCGUUAAAUAUUGAUUUAUGAAAUAUUUUUGUGCAUUGUAUAUUAUACUAUGGAUUUAUUUUUAUUUGUGUAAUAUAUGCCUAUAUUAUCUGAUCAAUUGUUUGACGGUAUAAAUAUACAAUUAAAAGAUUAAGUGUGAUAUUUAAAAGAAAUUUUUUUUAUUACACGUUCAUAUCCUAUAACGAGUAUAUAUGGGUUCUAUUGGGAAUAUUUUUUUAUUUUUAUUCUUAAUAAACAAAUGAUUAUAUUUGGUUUUUAUACCAAUAAAUCAUACUGUAUUACUGUCAGUUUAUAGGUGUUCUUCGGAACAUAUUUGAACAAUAAUCUUUUUGUCAGCGACGCUAUAGCUUUGGGUACUUUCAGGACCCGUCUUGAAACACGGACCAAGGAGUCUAGCAUGUGCGCAAGUCAUUGGGAAUAAAAUAUUUUUUCAUCGAAAUAUUAAUAAAUUUUAUGAAACCCAAAGGCGAAAUGAAAGUAAAAUAAUUUAUUAUAAUUAAAAUUUUUUUUUUUUUUUUUUUAAAUUUGAGGGAGGAUAUAUUUUUAUUAUGUAUAAAAUAUCGCACUCCCAGGGCAUCUUAUAUUAUUCUUAUAAUUAUUUUAUAAUUUUUAUUAUGAAUAAAGGUGCACCUAGAGCGUACACGCUGGGACCCGAAAGAUGGUGAACUAUGCCUGGUCAGGACGAAGUCAGGGGAAACCCUGAUGGAGGUCCGUAGCGAUUYUGACGUGCAAAUCGAUCGUCGGAACUGGGUAUAGGGGSGAAAGACUAAUCGAACCAUCUAGUAGCUGGUUCCCUCCGAAGUUUCCCUCAGGAUAGCUGGCGUUCAUCAUUCAACGAGUCUCAUCCGGUAAAGCGAAUGAUUAGAGGCCUUGGGGCCGAAACGACCUCAACCUAUUCUCAAACUUUAAAUGGGUGAGAUCUCUAGCUUGCUUAAAAUCAUAUUAUUUGUAUUGAUUUUUUUUUUAUUUUGGUAUAUUGUAUAUGUGAAGCUAUGAGAAUAAUAUUUUUUUGUAAUUAUAUUUAUGGAUCAGAAUGCCAAGUGGGCCACUUUU